CCCUCCCACUGUCCCUCCCACUGGCUUGUUCACCUGAGCUGCCUUGACCUCCGAGGGGGGAAAACACAUGAUCCAGAUUCUGGACAUGUCCUGAGCCCUGCUACUGCGGGCUGAGCCACGACAGUUGACGUUCACCCAAACUGCUGCCCCAAGGGAAUGUGACAGAUAGAUGACUGUUGUGCGGGCUGGAUGCACAGUUGCUCCGGGCGUAGCUCACCUCUGCAAUUAAGCAAGAUCCCAGAAUUUGAACCUUGGAAGUGAAAUCUGCUCAAGGCAAAGAUCCAAGUCUUCAUUCUGCUUGAAUGGAAGAAUGAGAUUAAA